UACGUAGGGUGCGAGCGUUGUCCGGAAUUACUGGGCGUAAAGAGCUCGUAGGUGGUUUGUCGCGUUGUUCGUGAAAACUCACAGCUCAACUGUGGGCGUGCGGGCGAUACGGGCAGACUGGAGUACUGCAGGGGAGACUGGAAUUCCUGGUGUAGCGGUGGAAUGCGCAGAUAUCAGGAGGAACACCGGUGGCGAAGGCGGGUCUCUGGGCAUCUCCUGACGCUGAGGCGCGAAAGCGUGGGGAGCAAACGGG
rnacentral:rRNA from 1 species